CCCCUUUCUAAAAGCACUCAGAAGGCCUUUUGAUAAUGACCCACUGAGUCAUCAGGAAAGGGUAGAGUGAAAAUACCACUUUCGGGUGAAGUGGCAGCAUGUUGUGUUGUUUUGCUUUAAUUGGUAGUAUGACAAGG
rnacentral:snoRNA from 1 species